UCUAGCUAUGUUGAGACGCGGCAUACGGCUCAGUAACACGUGGCUAACCUACCCUCAGGACGGGGACAAACCCGGGAAACUGGGGCUAAUAUCCGAUAGGCGAGGAAUCCUGGAAUGGUUCUUCACCCAAAGGACAUUGGAAACAUGCUUUCUCUGUCGCCUGGGGAUGGGGCCGCGUCCGAUCAGGUUGUUGGUGAGGUAAUGGCUCACCAAGCCUUUAACCGGUACGGGCCGUGAGAGCGGUAGCCCGGAGAUGGGUACUGAGACAAGGACCCAGGCCCUACGGGGCGCAGCAGUCGCGAAAACUCCGCAAUGCACGAAAGUGUGACGGGGCUACCCCGAGUGCCGUCCGCUGAGGAUGGCUUUUCCUUGGUGUAACUAGCCGGGGGAAUAAGGAGAGGGCAAGACUGGUGUCAGCCGCCGCGGUAAUACCAGCUCUCCGAGUGGUAGGGAUGAUUAUUGGGCUUAAAGCGUCCGUAGCCGGCUUAGCAAGUUUCCUGUUAAAUUCAGCGACCUAAUCGUUGAGCCGCGGGAAAUACUACUAGGCUAGGAGGCGGGAGAGGUCGACGGUACUUCUGGGGUAGGGGUGAAAUCCUAUAAUCCCGGGAGGACCACCAGUGGCGAAGGCUGUCGACUAGAACGCGCUCGACGGUGAGGGACGAAAGCUGGGGGAGCGAACCGGAUUAGAUACCCGGGUAGUCCCAGCUGUAAACGAUGCGGGCUAGGUGUUGGGGUGGCUACGUGCCACUUCAGUGCCGCAGGGAAGCCAUUAAGCCCGCCGCCUGGGGAGUACGGCCGCAAGGCUGAAACUUAA
rnacentral:rRNA from 1 species